rnacentral:piRNA from 1 species
UGAGUAUAAGGGUUACCCCCAGAGUA